UCUCUUUCCAGGGAUUGCUCCUCUUGGAGUUUUUUUCCGUGAGCCUACAACACAGGUGCUCCAGGACCUUAAUCAUCUUUCUGGCCCAGACUGGACUGUCCUAGUGUCACUGAAUGGGGAUCAUGUAACUAUCAAGUCUGCAUUUCUGCUCUGCUGAGAAGACCUUUGUACCUAUGAAGAGCCUGCAAAGCCUAAUGAGAAGAUAGAUCUAGGGAUUCAAGCUUGGGAACUGGAUAAAAACAGUUAUAGAGACGGUGAUGUUUCAGAGUCUAGCAUUUCUGUUACAAAGACUCACAGUAAGUACAAAGUCCACCUGACAAUGGAUUCUGAAAGGAAUUCUAAGCUGCUACCCAGCUGAACAGAAUACACAGAAAUCUGAGAAUCUAAUUCUUCACUCUUCUACAUUGAAAGACUGCAAGAGAAAAAUGGUCGCUUUAUUUUCUUAAUUAAGUUUUUAUGUGAAAUAUGAAAAUAACACCUGAAAUUGCCAAAUGGCACAUUACUGUUGACUUCUAACUAAUAUGAUUUGAGUAUUAGAAAUCCAUAGCUUUCUGUGAACUGACAAGCAGUUGUUUUGGUGAAUUUGCCCUUGGAAAAAAAAGCAGACAAACACAAAAAGUCCACCCACAAACAGACCAAAAAAAUCCCAACAGCAAUCAACAACCAAAAAUAAUUAAGCACACAAGGGAGUAGACAGCAGGGUCUUGGCAGUGUUAUUCUUCUAUUGUCUGUCCUGCCAAAUAAAUUUGGGCUUGAGGGGUUUUGGAUUUGUAUCAAAUGGUUGGAAACAAUCCUGUCUGUUUCCACACUGCAUCUGAUCUUCCAUGUUACUAAAUAGGACAUAAAAUCUAAAAAUUCCUCACUUACAGCGAAAUUUGUUAGAGCUUGCAAAUUAGAAAUGGUGAGAACAUGAAUGAUUUAGUUGCUUCUGAAGGCAGUAUUGCUUGAAUCAAAAAGAAUAUUUAAACAUACCUGGCAAAAGUAAUUUUCAUUUUAAAAGGUUUGAUGUAAGUAAUCAGUUUGUGGAAGUGGAGGUAUCAUUACUAAGAUGCGGAACUGAUAAUGUGCUUUUUUCUAUGGAAAGGUUAAUAUCGUGUUGAAUGCAGAGGCUCAUAAAAAGGUCAUACCCACAAGAACGAAGUUACCAAACAGACCUUUUUAACUGCCUCCCAUAAAUUGUGUGAUCUUGAAAUAUGGGAAUACUGUUUUCGAAUACUACUCCCUCAACACUACAAUGCUAUAAUAUAAACAAAUGUGCAAAUUGAGGCUUGUGCGAAAGUGGCAGUCUUCUGGUUAAACAACACAACUUCUCUAGGGGUUAUUACUGAUGUAUUUUAAUUUAUAUUUUGGUUUUUAAGUAAUGUCAGGACUACCAGACUCUUGGGAAAAGGAUUCCUUUUAAUUACUUUUAUAGAACUAAAUAAAGUAUUUCGGGUGAGAAUAAAAGUAAAAUGUUGG
ensembl:lncRNA